ACCCCCUGGCAAUGGGCAGAGAGACCCCUUGGUGGUGGUGCUCUUGUAUCAGCCAGGGGCAAAGCAGACGGACAGUCCUUUGUUCAUCCUAGCUUGAUGCCUGGAUUGGUGGCCAGAGCUGUUUCAUGCCUGGGGCACACAA
ensembl:snoRNA small nucleolar RNA SNORA48